CCUACGGGUGGCAGCAGUGAGGAAUAUUGGUCAAUGGCCGGAAGGCUGAACCAGCCAUGCCGCGUGAAGGUCAGUGCCCUAUGGGCGUUAAACUUCUUUUGUGCGGGAGCAAUAAUGGUCACGUGUGGCCAGACGAGAGUACCGUACGAAUAAGCAUCGGCUAACUCCGUGCCAGCAGCCGCGGUAAUACGGGGGGGGCAAGCGUUAUCCGGAUUUACUGGGUGUAAAGGGAGCGUAGACGGCAGUGCAAGUCUGGAGUGAAAGGCGGGGGCUCAACCCCCGGACUGCUCUGGAAACUGUACGGCUGGAGUGCAGGAGAGGUAAGUGGAAUUCCUAGUGUAGCGGUGAAAUGCAUAGAUAUCACACAGAACACCGAUUGCGAAGGCAUCUCACGAAUCCGCGAUUGACGCUGAUGCACGAAAGCGUGGGUAUCAAACAGGAUUAGAUACCCCAGUAGUC
rnacentral:rRNA from 1 species